rnacentral:rRNA from 1 species
CUUAACACAUGCAAGUCGAACGAUGAAGACCGGUGCUUGCACUGGUUGGAUUAGUGGCGAACGGGUGAGUAAUACGUGAGUAACCUGCCUUUGACUCUGGGAUAAGCCUUGGAAACGAGGUCUAAUACCGGAUAUGACACAGUUUCGCAUGAAAUCUGUGUGGAAAGGGUUUGUACUGGUUUUAGAUGGGCUCACGGCCUAUCAGCUUGUUGGUGGGGUAAUGGCUCACCAAGGCGACGACGGGUAGCCGGCCUGAGAGGGUGACCGGCCACACUGGGACUGAGACACGGCCCAGACUCCUACGGGAGGCAGCAGUGGGGAAUAUUGCACAAUGGGCGCAAGCCUGAUGCAGCGACGCCGCGUGAGGGAUGACGGCCUUCGGGUUGUAAACCUCUUUCAGCAGGGGAGAAGCGAAAGUGACGGUACCUGCAGAAGAAGCGCCGGCUAACUACGUGCCAGCAGCCGCGGUAAUACGUAGGGCGCGAGCGUUGUCCGGAAUUAUUGGGCGUAAAGAGCUUGUAGGCGGUUUGUCGCGUCUGCUGUGAAAGCCCGGGGCUUAACUCCGGGUUUGCAGUGGGUACGGGCUAACUAGAGUGCAGUAGGGGAGACUGGAAUUCCUGGUGUAGCGGUGGAAUGCGCAGAUAUCAGGAGGAACACCGAUGGCGAAGGCAGGUCUCUGGGCUGUAACUGACGCUGAGAAGCGAAAGCAUGGGGAGCGAA